GACGAACGCUGGCGGCGUGCCUAAUACAUGCAAGUUGAGCGAUGAAGCUUGGUGCUUGCACCAAUUUGAAGAGCAGCGAACGGGUGAGUAACGCGUGGGGAAUCUGCCUUUGAGCGGGGGACAACAUUUGGAAACGAAUGCUAAUACCGCAUAACAACUUUAAACAUAAGUUUUAAGUUUGAAAGAUGCAUUUGCAUCACUCAAAGAUUAUCCCGCGUUGUAUUAGCUAGUUGGUGAGGUAAAGGCUCACCAAGGCGAUGAUACAUAGCCGACCUGAGAGGGUGAUCGGCCACAUUGGGACUGAGACACGGCCCAAACUCCUACGGGAGGCAGCAGUAGGGAAUAUUCGGCAAUGGACGAAAGUCUGACCGAGCAACGCCGCGUGAGUGAAGAAGGUUUUCGGAUCGUAAAACUCUGUUGGUAGAGAAGAACGUUGGUGAGAGUGGAAAGCGCAUCAAGUGACGGUAACUACCCAGAAAGGGACGGCUAACUACGUG
rnacentral:rRNA from 1 species